AUGAACGCUGGCGGCGUGCCUAAUCCAUGCAAGUCGAGCGAACAGACGAGGAGCUUGCUCCUCUGACGUUAGCGGCGGACGGGUGAGUAACACGUGGAUAACCUACCUAUAAGACUGGGAUAACUUCGGGAAACCGGAGCUAAUACCGGAUAAUAUAUUGAACCGCAUGGUUCAAUAGUGAAAGACGGUUUUGCUGUCACUUAUAGAUGGAUCCGCGCCGCAUUAGCUAGUUGGUAAGGUAACGGCUUACCAAGGCGACGAUGCGUAGCCGACCUGAGAGGGUGAUCGGCCACACUGGAACUGAGACACGGUCCAGACUCCUACGGGAGGCAGCAGUAGGGAAUCUUCCGCAAUGGGCGAAAGCCUGACGGAGCAACGCCGCGUGAGUGAUGAAGGUCUUCGGAUCGUAAAACUCUGUUAUUAGGGAAGAACAAAUGUGUAAGUAACUAUGCACGUCUUGACGGUACCUAAUCAGAAAGCCACGUCUAACUACGUG
rnacentral:rRNA from 1 species